AUUGACUGGUGUCUAGAUGUAAAUUUGUCCAAAACAAAAGUUUUAAUUUUUAACAAGCCUGGAAAAUUUUUGAAGGAAUCAUUUUAUUUAGAUAAAGAGGCUGUAGAAUGUGUUAAUAAAUGUAAAUAUCUAGGGAUAGUCUUUACCUCUAGUGGUCUUUUUCAACAGGGGAAAGAAGAGCUAUUCAAAAAAUCCUUAAAGGCAAAAUUCAAAUUACAAAAAUCCAUGUCAGCUUGUAAUCCAAGUAUUGAUACUGCAAUACAUUU
rnacentral:lncRNA from 1 species